CAACAACAACAAGCCACACAACAACAACAAUACACUGCCUCACAUGCAUUAGAAACAGAAAGAUGUCAAAAUCUCCACUGUCAAUAUACAUUUCUCGUGACAGUAGACUCCCAAAGCUCCACUGUCUCACCUGCAUUAGAAACAGAAAGAUGUCAAAAUCAGAACAUUUGAAACAAUGACCAAAACAGAAGAAGAUCAACACCAGAUACAUUUGACCAUAACGAAAAACAUUUAUAUUACAUUGAAAUUUAUAUUACAUUGAAACCGUGAGAACAACAAACUUAAAGAGCAUAGCAAACAGAUUAAGCAAACAUAAACUAAACAGAACAACAAACUUAAAGAGCACAGAGCAAGAAACUUAAAGAGCACAAAGCAAACUUGAAACAGAAACACUUAGACUAAUUAAACAACAACUCUUUGGUGAGCUUCUGUUUGAGAGCUUCUUCAUAAUCACACAAAGGUUCUUUUUUGGCAACUAAACUGUCUAGAAGUGUCAUCUUAGACAAUCGUUCCUUCAUGGCCAUGUCCUGUUGUUUUAUGUUCCACAUAGUCUCAAACUUCUUCAUUGCAUUCUCCUCAUCCACUGUCUUCUUGCCACGGGACUUUGCGGCUUUAACACCAGGUGGACGCAUCGUCUCAGUAGCUUGAGAGCUUGAAGAAUCUCCAGCGUCCUCACCCUUUCUUUUUUUAGACCUUCCAAUGUUUUUUGCAGAUGCAACCUCACACUACUUCUGGUCGUUCUUCAGCUCAUUCCAAGCAUAUUCCAGAUUAAAUUUCUUCCUAUGGUUGUUGAAAAAAAUUUCAUGAGCAAGUUUCAACACAUCAUUAUCGUUCUGACCACUCCUUCUAUGUCUUGUUGCAUCUUCAUAGGCUCCACAAAACUUGCAGACGAGGUCAUUUAUCUUGUGCCAUCUCUGCUUACAAUUAUUUCCCACUCUCGGUUCGCAACCAGAGACCUUCUGACUCGCUGCAAAGAAAGUUGCUACUCUUGUCCAGAAAGUGCUUGAUUUUUGCUCAUUGCUAACCACUGGAUCUUUGCUUGUGUUUAACCAGGCGCUAAUGAGCAUAAUAUCAUCUGCAGGCGUCCACUGCAUUCUUUCUCUACGCUCUGUACCUGUCUCUCCACCAGCAUCGGUUCCUAGAUUGCCGACGGAAGCUUGUGAUGCAGUGUCUUCAUAGUUACCAAAUGAAAUGGUUUGUUGACUAUUCAGUAGGUCAACAAACUUUGAGGUCUGGGAAGAAGGAUAAGAAUCCAUUGGAAGAGAAGAAGGAAGAGAUAAAGAAAAGAACAGAAAUGAAACAAUGGGAAGAGAAGAAGGAAGAGAUAAAGCAAAGAACAGAGAUGAAACAAUGGGAAGAGAAGAAGGAAGAGAUAAAGAAAAGAAGAUAGGUGAGAAACUAGGAAGCGAAGAACACAGUUUAUACCGUGAAGAGAAGGAUCAAGCAUUGAUCACAACCAACACCAUAAACGUUGAGUUGACAUAUAUCUACGAGCAUUCAUCACACAACACUCUCCUCACACAACAACAUUCAUUUAAGUCUAACCAUAAACGGUACUUAACAUUACAUUUAUUUCAAACAAGAGUAAACUCGUUACCUUCCUAUUCAAAAGAGCAAAAAAAGAGGUAUUAUCCAAUUCAAAAGUCAUUUCAAUCAUAAAUUUAAAUCAACAACAAGAGUUAACUCCUCAACAACAAGAGUAAACUUAUCAUCCAAUUCAACAGAGCAAAGACAAAGGGUUUAUCCAAUUCAAUAUUCAUUUCAAUCAAGAAUUUAAAUCAUCAACAUUCGCGUCAUCAAUCAAAAAACACCAACGAAUAUAAACAAUGGUUUAUCCACUUCUCCGGAGCAAAUAGAAACGUUAAUCCAAUUACAAAGAUCAGAGAUAAAGGAUUUACCUUUAUGACCAAUCCUGGAGGUUUUGCCUGAGAACGAGACAACUUCUGUGACCUUUCACGCCUUCACGCCUCUUGAUCAACCCAUCUCAGGACACAGAUAGAAAAAAAAAUUAAAACAAGUCAGAGGUUGAAUUUCUUAAGAUUCGCGUUGAAGGAGCACAAUAUAAGACAUGCAUAAUCGAAAUCAUCAAACAUACAAACAUAUUAACUCAUCUUUACCUUUCGAUUCGCCUGAGGAUCAAUCGUUUUCCUUCGUCUCUGAGAGACACCACGAGAAAGAUCUCGCCGUCUACCUUCCUUGAGGACGCCGUUUUCCUUCCUAGACAAGCGCCACCGAGAGACUACAACGUUUCGGUUAGGACAGCCACCGAGAAAACACAAAUCGCCAUUUUCGC
rnacentral:lncRNA from 1 species